UUCCUAAAACCUAAAAAAUUUGGCGGCCUCUAAAAUAAUGAGAGGAGCUUGCUUUUAAACGACGACCCUCGACUAUUUUACCUAAAAUGUCUAGCCUGUAUACCGCCGCCUAGAAACCCCUCUAAAGUUAUUUCAAAGCAAAUAUAUCUUUAAGGCCAGGUCAAGGUGCAGCUUAUGUUUAGGGUUCAGUUAGCUACAAUGGAUAAUUAAUUAGAAUAGUUUAUGAAACAAACUAUAAAAGAGGAUUUCAGAGUAAUUUUUUAUAAAAUGAGAAAAUGACUUGAUACUUAAAGGUGUACAUAUCGCCCGUCGCUCGCGGGA
rnacentral:rRNA from 1 species